rnacentral:rRNA from 1 species
AUUGAACGCUAGCGGCAUGCUUUACACAUGCAAGUCGAACGAGUGGCGGACGGGUGAGUAAUAUAUCGGAACGUGCCCAGUAGCGGGGGAUAACUACUCGAAAGUGUGGCUAAUCCCGCAUACUAUUGUGUGCCCCGAUAGCGGAUUAGCUAGUGGGGGGGGUAAAGGCUCACCAAGGCCACGAUCCGUAGCUGGUGUGAGAGGAGGACCAGCCACACUGGGACUGAGACACGGCCCAGACGCCUACGGGAGGCAGCAGGGGGGAAUUUUGGACAAUGGGGGAAACCCUGAUCCAGCCAUCCCGCGUGUAUGAGAAGGCCUUCGGGUUGUAAAGUACUUUUGGCAGAGAGGCGGUAUCUGCAGAAGAAGCACCGGCUAACUACGUGCCAGCAGCCGCGGUAAUAC